GGGCUAAUUACGUGCCAGCAGCCGCGGUAAUACGUAGGUGGCAAGCGUUGUCCGGAUUUAUUGGGCGUAAAGCGAGCGCAGGCGGUUUUUUAAGUCUGAUGUGAAAGCCUUCGGCUCAACCGAAGAAGUGCAUCGGAAACUGGGAAACUUGAGUGCAGAAGAGGACAGUGGAACUCCAUGUGUAGCGGUGAAAUGCGUAGAUAUAUGGAAGAACACCAGUGGCGAAGGCGGCUGUCUGGUCUGUAACUGACGCUGAGGCUCGAAAGUAUGGGUAGCAAACAGGAUUAGAUACCCUGGUAGUCCAUACCGUAAACGAUGAAUGCUAAGUGUUGGAGGGUUUCCGCCCUUCAGUGCUGCAGCUAACGCAUUAAGCAUUCCGCCUGGGGAGUACGGCCGCAAGGCUGAAACUCAAAGGAAUUGACGGGGGCCCGCACAAGCGGUGGAGCAUGUGGUUUAAUUCGAAGCUACGCGAAGAACCUUACCAGGUCUUGACAUACUAUGCAAAUCUAAGAGAUUAGACGUUCCCUUCGGGGACAUGGAUACAGGUGGUGCAUGGUUGUCGUCAGCUCGUGUCGUGAGAUGUUGGGUUAAGUCCCGCAACGAGCGCAACCCUUAUUAUCAGUUGCCAGCAUUAAGUUGGGCACUCUGGUGAGACUGCUGGUGACAAACCGGAGGAAGGUGGGGAUGACGUCAAAUCAUCAUGCCCCUUAUGACCUGGGCUACACACGUGCUACAAUGGAUGGUACAACGAGUUGCGAACUCGCGAGAGUAAGCUAAUCUCUUAAAGCCAUUCUCAGUUCGGAUUGUAGGCUGCAACUCGCCUACAUGAAGUCGGAAUCGCUAGUAAUCGCGGAUCAGCAUGCCGCGGUGAAUACGUUCCCGGGCCUUGUACACACCGCCCGUCACACCAUGAGAGUUUGUAACACCCAAAGUCGGUGGGGU
rnacentral:rRNA from 2 species